rnacentral:rRNA from 1 species
AGAACGAACGCUGGCGGCAGGCUUAACACAUGCAAGUCGAACGCCCCGCAAGGGGAGUGGCAGACGGGUGAGUAACGCGUGGGAAUCUACCUAGCUCUACGGAAUAGCUUCGGGAAACUGGAAUUAAUACCGUAUACGCCCCAAGGGGGAAAGAUUUAUCGGAGUUAGAUGAGCCCGCGUUGGAUUAGCUAGUUGGUGGGGUAAUGGCCUACCAAGGCGACGAUCCAUAGCUGGUCUGAGAGGAUGAUCAGCCACACUGGGACUGAGACACGGCCCAGACUCCUACGGGAGGCAGCAGUGGGGAAUAUUGGACAAUGGGCGAAAGCCUGAUCCAGCCAUGCCGCGUGAGUGAUGAAGGCCUUAGGGUUGUAAAGCUCUUUCAGUGGGGAAGAUAAUGACGGUACCCACAGAAGAAGCCCCGGCUAACUUCGUGCCAGCAGCCGC